CCUACGGGGGGCAGCAGUGGGGAAUAUUGGGCAAUGGGCGUAAGCCUGACCCAGCAACGCCGCGUGAAGGAAGAAGGCUUUCGGGUUGUAAACUUCUUUUCUCAGGGACGAAGCAAGUGACGGUACCUGAGGAAUAAGCCACGGCUAACUACGUGCCAGCAGCCGCGGUAAUACGUAGGUGGCAAGCGUUAUCCGGAUUUACUGGGUGUAAAGGGCGUGUAGGCGGGAAAGCAAGUCAGAUGUGAAAACCAUGGGCUCAACCUGUGGCCUGCAUUUGAAACUGUUUUUCUUGAGUACUGGAGAGGCAGACGGAAUUCCUAGUGUAGCGGUGAAAUGCGUAGAUAUUAGGAGGAACACCAGUGGCGAAGGCAGCUUACUAAACUGCCACUGACAUUGAUGCUCGAAAGUGUGGGUAUCAAACAGGAUUAGAUACCCUUGUAGUC
rnacentral:rRNA from 1 species